rnacentral:rRNA from 1 species
UACGGAGGAUGCGAGCGUUAUCCGGAUUUAUUGGGUUUAAAGGGUGCGUAGGCGGGCAUUUAAGCCGGCGGUCAAAUGUCGGGGCUCAACCCCGGCCUGCCGUCGGAACUGGGUGCCUUGAGUGGGCGAGAAGUAUGCGGAAUGCGUGGUGUAGCGGUGAAAUGCAUAGAUAUCGCGCAGAACUCCGAUUGCGAAGGCAGCAUGCCGGCUCCACACUGACGCUGAGGCACGAAAGCGUGGGUAUCGAACAGG